GAAAAACUUGUGCUCAUUGCAUCAUACCUGGCGAGAGCAUUGCCUUUCUCUCAGAGCUUUUAAUGUUCCAUUCCAGUGCAACAACUGAAAAACUGUCAUCAUCUCCUGUAGUUGUGCAACAAAAGUCAAACAUGCAGCAUGGCUCCUGGUGACUGAUUCAUAAGCGCGAGGACAACAUCAUAACCCGAGUGCUAUUUUACCUGGAACUCCAGCAUGGUCCUUCCCAUGUAAGAGUGAAGAAGCAGACUAUAUGUUCCAAUGUGUGUGCUUGAAUCAUUUGCAUCUUCGAUAGAAACCUGAGCACAGACAAGACAGAAAGUCAAUAUAAAUCCUGUGGCUAUAAUCGACACACGCCCCAGUUGGUCCGGUGCAUGAAAAGCUCACAUCGCUGUCUAUGGUGGCCUGCUGCAAACUCUGAGCGAUGAACUGAGGGCAGAUGCGUCGACAAGGCAGCUCAUUGACAAGCGAGUUCAUCAGAGCCACUCGGGCAGCAUCUCGACGGGCCUCUGCCUGACUGGUACACAACUGGCGACGAGAGGAUAAGUCACGGGAUCACAGCUCAACGAGUUAACGACGUUAGAGGCAGUCACAGAUAGCCGAUCACAUGGUGCCCGAGGCUCGGUCUGAGUCACGAUGCAUUUCGGAGAGGCACCACGGGAUUGAAGUCAUGUUAAUAAACAACAUUCAUUUCAAACCACCUUGAA